GUGCCAGCCGCCGCGGUAAUACCGGCAGCCCGAGUGAUGGCCACUCUUAUUGGGCCUAAAGCGUCCGUAGCUGGCUGCGCAAGUCCGUCGGGAAAUCCACUCGCCCAACGAGUGGGCGUCCGACGGAAACUGCACAGCUUGGGACCGGAAGGCUCGAAGGGUACGUUCGGGGUAGGAGUGAAAUCCCGUAAUCCUGGACGGACCGCCGGUGGCGAAAGCGCCUCAGGAGGACGGACUCGACCGUAAGGGACGAAAGCCAGGGUCUCGAACCGGAUUAGAUACCCUAGUAGUCC
rnacentral:rRNA from 1 species